CCUACGGGUGGCAGCAGUGAGGAAUAUUGGUCAAUGGCCGGAAGGCUGAACCAGCCAAGUAGCGUGAGGGAAGACUGCCCUAUGGGUUGUAAACCGCUUUUAUGCGGGGAUAACGGUGUCCACGUGUGGAUGUUUGCAGGUACCGCAUGAAUAAGGACCGGCUAAUUCCGUGCCAGCAGCCGCGGUAAUACGGAAGGUCCGGGCGUUAUCCGGAUUUAUUGGGUUUAAAGGGAGCGUAGGCCGGUCUUCAAGCGUGCCGUGAAAUGUUUGGGCUCAACCAUGGGCGUGCGGCGCGAACUGGAGAGCUUGAGUGCGCGGAAGGCAGGCGGAAUUCGUGGUGUAGCGGUGAAAUGCUUAGAUAUCACGAAGAACCCCGAUUGCGAAGGCAGCUUGCUGCAGCGGUACUGACGCUGAAGCUCGAAAGCGCGGGUAUCGAACAGGAUUAGAUACCCUUGUAGUC
rnacentral:rRNA from 1 species